ensembl:lncRNA
AUUGAUUUCUGCAGCUCCACAACCUGAUCAGCAAACACCUCAAAGAAGACAGCAUGGGGAUGAAGAUGUGUGCUAUGCUGCACUGGAAAUCCAACAGACAUCACACAGACCAAAGAAGAAGUUCUGACUUCAGCACCUAUUCUGGCAUCAACACUCUACACAAGGAUGUAGAGUCUAAAAAAGGAAAAUAACAACCACAAUUGUUACGUUCCCUGCUCUCCGGCAACGUAACAAAAACAAACGCGAGGGAAAAUAAGGAAAGUAUUAGAGAAUAAUCAAGAAUGUAUUAUUUUAAACAUUGUGGCAGCCAAACCAGCCACAUGCCUCUUUCCCUCUCCCGAUCCCCCUGGAUGAUGGUUUUAAAGGGGCCGGCGCUGAUGGUACAACCAAUCAAGAUGGACCCCCAACUAAGCCAUCUGCUGGGCUGCCUGCAGAACACGGAAAAGAAAGAUACACAGGCCACCAACAAUGGUCAGGGAUGACAACAUCUAACAAUUUGAACAUUUGGAGUCAAAUAGACCAUAGGGAGAAAUAUGCUUUAGGGCGGGGCUAACUGUGAUUGACGGACUACAAAUCAAUUUCCAACCUAUUUUGAUUGACUUCUUCCCC